CACGUAGGGACCAAGCGUUGUCCGGAUUCAUUGGGCGUAAAGAGCUCGUAGGCGGCCGCUUAAGUCGGAUGUGAAAGCCCCUGGCUCAACUGGGGAAGUGCACCCGAAACUGAGUGGCUUGAGUACUAAAGAGGGUCGCGGAAUUCCCGGUGUAGAGGUGAAAUUCGUAGAUAUCGGGAGGAACACCGGUGGCGAAGGCGGCGACCUGGGUAGAUACUGACGCUGAGGCGCGAAAGCGUGGGGAGCAAACAGG
rnacentral:rRNA from 1 species